UGGGGAAUAUUGCGCAAUGGGGGGAACCCUGACGCAGCCAUGCCGCGUGAAUGAAGAAGGCCUUCGGGUUGUAAAGUUCUUUCGGUAUUGAGGAAGGUUGAUGUGUUAAUAGCACAUCAAAUUGACGUUAAAUACAGAAGAAGCACCGGCUAACUCCGUGCCAGCAGCCGCGGUAAUACGGAGGGUGCGAGCGUUAAUCGGAAUAACUGGGCGUAAAGGGCACGCAGGCGGUUAUUUAAGUGAGGUGUGAAAGCCCCGGGCUUAACCUGGGAAUUGCAUUUCAGACUGGGUAACUAGAGUACUUUAGGGAGGGGUAGAAUUCCACGUGUAGCGGUGAAAUGCGUAGAGAUGUGGAGGAAUACCGAAGGCGAAGGCAGCCCCUUGGGAAUGUACUGACGCUCAUGUGCGAAAGCGUGGGGAGCAAACAGGAUUAGAUACCCUGGUAGUCCGCGCUGUAAACGCUGUCGAUUUGGGGGUUGGGGUUUAACUCUGGCGCCCGUAGCUAACGUGAUAAAUCGACCGCCUGGGGAGUACGGCCGCAAGGUUA
rnacentral:rRNA from 1 species